CAUGUAUCUUUUUAAGAAAGUUGACAAUCAGCUCAUAAACAAAGUACCUUGCUAAUUGCAAAACAUCCUCCAGUAUCAUUUGUGUAUUAUUAUGUAGCAAAGCUCCCUACCAUCCUAUUAGCCUAACAAACCUGCCGAAGCUCUGCAUAUAGCAAACACAAAAGUUGGAACAAAUUAAGAAAAUCGGUAUUAAGAAGAGAUGAGUAGUAUGCCUACGGGGAUAAGAUAAUAGGAUGGAUCAACAUGAACAGUGAACAAAUAUGUGUUAUCUCCGGAAGACAUUUGUACAUGGCGUUUUGGUCUUUUUCCAUGAGAAUGCCAUGAGCCUAUGAGUGUGGAGUGUGUGUCAACGGUUCCAAAAUCAGGAAGAGCAAGGUUGAGUUGAAAAACAACACACGCAUCAGUACAUGCAGUUCAAUAUCCCAAUGCCCUUAACAAUUUCUACCACUCCUGAUCCGAAUGUGUUUCCAAUUUGCUCAAAUAGGUUGCUACCUAUCUUUGGCAAGUGUACGUGAACUAAUAUUUGAAAUUGACCAUAAGUUCAAUCAAGAAUUUGGGCCCUGAACAAUACUGAUUUUGUAUUUAUCUGCAGAGAUGAAUCAUUAUCGUAUUUGCCUUUCAAUGUUUCGGAAAAGAAGUUUGAACAAUAGAGCAGUAGCAUCAAAAAGAGUAGUUUAGAAUCUACGUUUGAGUUUCAAACCCAAUUUUCCACACAAAGCCUUUCGUCUUCUCCACCAAAUCAUGUAUUGCCUUCUUAUGAAAUCUUUUGUUUUCAUUUAUGAUGUUUUCCUGCAGUAUCAGAGCAGGUUCAAAUGAGCCCCAAAUAGUCUAUGUGAAGCAACAAAGUGGGAAUUAGAAAAAAUAAACAGCAAAACUAUGUCUUAUGAUUUGGUAGCUUAAAAGGGAUAAUAUUAUGAGUUUAAACAAACCAGUGAUUGACAUAGUCGCAAAGGUUCACCUGCCAACUUUUUUCAUCCCAGUAGACAUGGAAAUUAGUAGUCACUGAUCUAGGAUAAAGUAGAGGAAAAGAAAGAUGAGAAAUAGAGAGCACCUAUGAUAAACACGGACAUCCAAGGGACUUCAGUGUCCCAUUGUUCUCGUCUUGGCCGCCACCACACCUCUUCCCCGUGGCAACC
rnacentral:lncRNA from 1 species